GACAAGCCCAGACAAGUGAGUUCACUUGUCCAAAGUCACAGAACCAUCACACUAAGGCUGGCGGGUGCUGACUGCGUGACAGGUACUGCUCCAAGCGCCAACUCAUCUAUUUAACCCUCGUCACACCAUGAGGAAACACACCAUGUUCCCCUUGGCUAGAAAACAGACCCUUUCUCCUAAGAGGAAGGUUAGUUAGCUCACCAGAGGACCUGUGUUCAGGGCACGCCUGGCCUGGAACCGCGUGUGAUGUGCCGGUGCCCUGAACAAGAAGAGGGCGCGGACACGGCGAUCCACCCCUGACCUCCGAAGGACGGAAGAUUCCAGCAGAUCGUGGUUUGAUUCCUGUUCAUUAUCUUUUCUAAAAAUUUGUCCUUUGCAAAACCAGGAUAAUACCACUGAUCCCAUGGGAUUGCUGGAAGGUGAAAUAAAAUGGAAUGAGCCCACCUGUCACAGGCAGAAGCUGUUAAACCUGAGCCUUUUCCUCCUCCUCUCCCUAUUCACCUGCACCAUGCCUUCUUGCUAUUUUCAAGCUUAGAUGUGUGCUUGCAUGGGCAUAUGAGUGUGUGUGUUUUUAAUCCACUGAAGACUGGCACUUUGGCAAAAUACAAUAAAAAUGAAUUUUUAAAAACA